rnacentral:rRNA from 1 species
AUGCAGGAUGAGUUACAUUUAAGCAUCUUGGGUGUUCAUUUUCAAUGCCGAUGCUUAUAUUGGGUAUUCAUUUUCAAUGCCGAUGCUUUGUUAAGGCCUGCUCGGACCCCGGAGAAGAGAGAACAGAGAAUGUGGUUUCUGUACCAUUGUUUACUUUUACACCUGGGCAUAGAAAUUAGAAACUACUCGCGUAUUUCUAGAAGUGUUGCAUAUGUGAACUCUAUAAAUUAUAACUUUUGCUAUGGUCACAAGAAAGAUGGAAUGUCGCGGCAUGUUAAACAUGUUUGCAAUCCAGCUAAGACUACAAUUUAG